UAAACAAACGCUUAUGUCAAAUAAAUUACAGAACGACGUCACAUUCUUUAGAUUCAAGUCUCGUGGAAUGUAUUCUUCAUUAGUUUAAUUAAUAUAGUCGCUCGUGUUUC